AUUGAACGCUGGCGGAAUGCUUUACACAUGCAAGUCGAACGGCAGCACGGACUUCGGUCUGGUGGCGAGUGGCGAACGGGUGAGUAACGUAUCGGAACGUGCCCAGUCGUGGGGGAUAACGUAGUGAAAAUUACGCUAAUACCGCAUACGAUCUAUGAAUGAAAGCGGGGGAUCGCAACACCGCGCGCGAUUGGAGCGGCCGAGAUCAGAUUAGGUAGUUGGUGGGGUAAAGGCCCACCAAGCCAACGAUGUGUAGCUGGUCUGAGAGGACGACCAGCCACACUGAAGCUGAGACACGGUCCAGACUCCUACGGGAGGCAGCAGUGGGAGAUUUUGGACAAUGGGCGCAAGCCUGAUCCAGCCAUUCCGCGUGCAGGAUGAAGGCCCUCGGGUUGUAAACUGCUUUUGUACAGAACGAAAAGGUUUCUACUAAUACUAGGAGCUCAUGACGGUACUGUAAGAAUAAGCACCGGCUAACUACGUGCCAGACGCCGCAGUAA
rnacentral:rRNA from 1 species